rnacentral:rRNA from 1 species
UACGGAGGGUGCAAGCGUUAUCCGGAAUGAUUGGGCGUAAAGCGUCCGCAGGUGGCUGUGUAAGUCUGCUGUCAAAGAGCGAAGCUCAACUUCGUAAAGGCAGUGGAAACUACACGGCUAGAGUGCGUUCGGGGCAGAGGGAAUUCCUGGUGUAGCGGUGAAAUGCGUAGAGAUCAGGAAGAACACCGGUGGCGAAGGCGGCAUCCUGGACCGGUAUUGACGCUGAGGCGCGAAAGCCAGGGGAGCAAACGGG